rnacentral:rRNA from 1 species
ACGGGACCCGCACAAGCGGUGGAUGAUGUGGAUUAAUUCGAUGCAACGCGAAAACCUUACCUACCCUUUGACAUGUCCGGAAUCCCGAAGAGAUUUUGGGAGUGCUCGCAAGAGAACCGGAACACAGGUGCUGCAUGGCUGUCGUCAGCUCGUGUCGUGAGAUGUUGGGUUAAGUCCCGCAACGAGCGCAACCCUUGUCAUUAGUUGCCAUCAUUUGGUUGGGCACUCUAAUGAGACUGCCGGUGACAACCGGAGGAAGGUGGGGAUGACGUCAAGUCCUCAUGGCCCUUAUGGGUAGGGCUUCACACGUCAUACAAUGGUCGGUACAGAGGGUUGCCAACCCGCGAGGGGGAGCUAAUCCCACAAAGCCGAUCGUAGUCCGGAUCGCAGUCUGCAACUCGACUGCGUGAAGUCGGAAUCGCUAGUAAUCGUGGAUCAGCAUGUCACGGUGAAUACGUUCCCGGGUCUU